rnacentral:rRNA from 1 species
UGAAUACGAGACGCUAAGGCGUCGAAGUAGUGUAUGUCAUACUUCCAAGAAAAGCUUGCACUGUCAUAGAUAAAAAACGCCUGUACCAUAACCGACACAGGUGGGUAGGUAGAGUAUACUAAGGGGCGCGAGAUAACUCUCUCUAAGGAACUCGGCAAAAUAACUCCGUAACUUCGGGAGAAGGAGUGCCUUAUUCGUAAGGUUGCAAUAACAAGAUCCAAGCAACUGUUUAUCAAAAACACAGGUCUCCGCUAAGUCGUAAGACGAUGUAUGGGGGCUGACGCCUGCCCAGUGCCAGAAGGUUAAAGAAGUUGGUUAGCAAUUGCGAAGCUGAUAACUGAAGCCCUGGUGAACGGCGGCCGUAACAAUAACGGUCCUAAGGUAGCGAAAUUCCUUGUCGGGUAAGUUCCGACCCGCACGAAAGGCGUAAUGAUUUGGAUACUGUCUCGGAGAGGGGCUCGGUGAAAUAGACUUGUCUGUGAAGAUGCGGACUACCUGCACCAGGACAGAAAGACCCUAUGAAGCUUUACUGUAACUUGAAAUUGAAAUUGGACUUUAUUCGCGCAGUAUAGGUGGGAGGCGUUGAUUAUAAUCUUGUGGGAUUAUUGGAGCCAUCAGUGAGAUACCACUCUUGUAAUGUUAGAUUUCUAACUUUGAAUCAUUAUCUGGUCAAAGAACAGUUUCAGGCGGGCAGUUUGACUGGGGCGGUCGCCUCCUAAACGGUAACGGAGGCGUACAAAGGUUUCCUCUGAACGGUUAGAAAUCGUAUCUAGAGUGUAAAGGCAUAAGGAAGCUUGACUGUGAGACCUACAAGUCGAGCAGGGACGAAAGUCGGUCUUAGUGAUCUGACGGUACUGAGUGGAAAGGCCGUCACUCAACGGAUAAAAGUUACUCUAGGAUAACAGGCUGUUCUCCCCCAAGAGUUCACAUCGACGGGGAGGUUUGGCACCUCGGUGUCGGCUCAUCGCAUCCUGGGGCGGUAGUACGUCCCAAGGGUUGGGCUGUUCGCCCAUGAAAGCGGUACGCGAGCUGGGUUCAGAGCGUCGUGAGACAGUUCGGUCCAUAUCCGGUGUAGGCGUUAGAAUAUUGAGAGGAGCCUUCUUUAGUACGAGAGGACCGAGAAGGACAUACCUCUGGUUACCAGUUAUCGUGCCAACGGUAAACGCUGGGUAGCUAUGUAUGGAGUGGAUAACCGCUGAAAGCAUCUAAGUGGGAAGCCCACCUCAAGAUAAGUAUUCUCAUC